rfam:Novosphingobium sp. MBES04 DNA, scaffold: MBES4S01.
CAUCAACCCACGGGGUGUCCUGGCGCUGUCAGGGCUGAGAGGCGGAUCACGGCGCAUUCCCGCGCAAAGUCUGCAAACCCGCGAACCUGAUCCGGUUCAUGCCGGCGGAGGAAUAGGGACCAUGCGACAA